GGGAUCUGCCCGAUGAGGGGGAUAACCACUAGAAACGGUGGCUGAUACCGCAUACCUCUUUGGAGUAAAGUGGGGGACCUUCGGGCCUCACGCCAUCGGAUGAACCCAGAUGGGAUUAGCUAGUAGUGGGGUAAUGGCUCACCUAGGCGACGAUCCCUAGCUGGUCUGAGAGGAUGACCAGCCACACUGGGACUGAGACACGGCCCAGACUCCUACGGGAGGCAGCAGUGGGGAAUAUUGCACAAUGGGCGCAAGCCUGAUGCAGCCAUGCCGCGUGUAUGAAGAAGGCCUUCGGGUUGUAAAGUACUUUCAGCGGGGAGGAAGGCAACAGCGUGAAUAGCGCUGUUGAUUGACGUUACCCGCAGAAGAAGCACCGGCUAACUCCGUGCCAGCAGCCGCGGUAAUACGGUAUUACCGCGGCUGCUGGACGAAGUGGACGAGGCGCUGGCGCUGGGCCACAAGGUGAAACCUGUGCUGCUGGGGCCGGUUACCUGGCUGUGGCUGGGGAAAGUGAAGGUGAACAAUUUGCCGCCUGAGCCAUGAUCAA
rnacentral:rRNA from 1 species